rnacentral:rRNA from 1 species
UGACCCGGGGCACAAGUAGCAUAAUCAUUUGUCUUUUAAUUAAAGGCUUGUAUGAAUGGUUGGAUGAGAUAUAAUCUAUUUUUAUUUAAUUAAAAAUGAAUUUUAAUUUUUAGUAAAAAUGCUAAAAUAAAAAAUAUAGACGAGAAGACCCUAUAAAUCUUUAUUAUUUUUUUAUUAAUUUAUUAAUAGAAGAAAAAAUUUAUUAUUAGAAAAAUAAUUUUAUUGGGGUGAUAAUGAAAUUUAAUAAACUUUUAUUUUAUUUUAUAAAUAUAAUUAAUUUAAUGAUCCAUUUUUAAUGAUUAUAAAAUUAAGUUACUUUAGGGAUAACAGCGUAAUUAUUUUAAAGAGUUCAUAUCGAUAAAAUAGUUUGCGACCUCGAUGUUGAAUUAAGAGUAAGUUUAGGUGUAGG